rnacentral:rRNA from 1 species
AUUGAACGCUGGCGGCAUGCUUUACACAUGCAAGUCGAACGGCAGCGGGGGCUUCGGCCCGCCGGCGAGUGGCGAACGGGUGAGUAAUGCAUCGGAACGUGCCCAGUCGUGGGGGAUAACACAUCGAAAGAUGUGCUAAUACCGCAUACGUCCUGAGGGAGAAAGCGGGGGAUCUUCGGACCUCGCGCGAUUGGAGCGGCCGAUGUCGGAUUAGCUAGUUGGUGGGGUAAAGGCCCACCAAGGCGACGAUCCGUAGCGGGUCUGAGAGGAUGAUCCGCCACACUGGGACUGAGACACGGCCCAGACUCCUACGGGAGGCAGCAGUGGGGAAUUUUGGACAAUGGGGGCAACCCUGAUCCAGCCAUGCCGCGUGAGUGAAGAAGGCCUC